rnacentral:rRNA from 1 species
AUGAACGCUAGCUACAGGCUUAACACAUGCAAGUCGAGGGGCAGCAUGGUCUUAGCUUGCUAAGGCCGAUGGCGACCGGCGCACGGGUGAGUAACACGUAUCCAACCUGCCGUCUACUCUUGGACAGCCUUCUGAAAGGAAGAUUAAUACAAGAUGGCAUCAUGAGUCCGCAUGUUCACAUGAUUAAAGGUAUUCCGGUAGACGAUGGGGAUGCGUUCCAUUAGAUAGUAGGCGGGGUAACGGCCCACCUAGUCUUCGAUGGAUAGGGGUUCUGAGAGGAAGGUCCCCCACAUUGGAACUGAGACACGGUCCAAACUCCUACGGGAGGCAGCAGUGAGGAAUAUUGGUCAAUGGGCGAGAGCCUGAACCAGCCAAGUAGCGUGAAGGAUGACUGCCCUAUGGGUUGUAAACUUCUUUUAUAAAGGAAUAAAGUCGGGUAUGCAUACCCGUUUGCAUGUACUUUAUGAAUAAGGAUCGGCUAACUCCGUGCCAGCAGCCGCGGUAAUACGGAGGAUCCGAGCGUUAUCCGGAUUUAUUGGGUUUAAAGGGAGCGUAGAUGGAUGUUUAAGUCAGUUGUGAAAGUUUGCGGCUCAACCGUAAAAUUGCAGUUGAUACUGGAUAUCUUGAGUGCAGUUGAGGCAGGCGGAAUUCGUGGUGUAGCGGUGAAAUGCUUAGAUAUCACGAAGAACUCCGAUUGCGAAGGCAGCCUGCUAAGCUGCAACUGACAUUGAGGCUCGAAAGUGUGGGUAUCAAACAGGAUUAGAUACCCUGGUAGUCCACACGGUAAACGAUGAAUACUCGCUGUUUGCGAUAUACAGCAAGCGGCCAAGCGAAAGCGUUAAGUAUUCCACCUGGGGAGUACGCCGGCAACGGUGAAACUCAAAGGAAUUGACGGGGGCCCGCACAAGCGGAGGAACAUGUGGUUUAAUUCGAUGAUACGCGAGGAACCUUACCCGGGCUUAAAUUGCAGAUGAAUUACGGUGAAAGCCGUAAGCCGCAAGGCAUCUGUGAAGGUGCUGCAUGGUUGUCGUCAGCUCGUGCCGUGAGGUGUCGGCUUAAGUGCCAUAACGAGCGCAACCCUUGUUGUCAGUUACUAACAGGUUCCGCUGAGGACUCUGACAAGACUGCCAUCGUAAGAUGUGAGGAAGGUGGGGAUGACGUCAAAUCAGCACGGCCCUUACGUCCGGGGCUACACACGUGUUACAAUGGGGGGUACAGAGGGCCGCUACCACGCGAGUGGAUGCCAAUCCCAAAAACCUCUCUCAGUUCGGACUGGAGUCUGCAACCCGACUCCACGAAGCUGGAUUCGCUAGUAAUCGCGCAUCAGCCACGGCGCGGUGAAUACGUUCCCGGGCCUUGUACACACCGCCCGUCAAGCCAUGGGAGCCGGGGGUACCUGAAGUGCGUAACCGCGAGGAGCGCCCUAGGGUAAAACUGGUGACUGGGG